rnacentral:rRNA from 1 species
GACGAACGCUGGCGGCGUGCUUAACACAUGCAAGUCGAACGGUAAAGCCCCAGCUUGCUGGGGUGGAUCAGUGGCGAACGGGUGAGUAACACGUGAGCAACCUGCCCCUGACUCUGGGAUAACCUCUGGAAACGGCGUCUAAUACUGGAUACGAGCAGCGUCCGCAUGGGCGGUUUUUGGAAGUUUUGUCGGUUGGGGAUGGGCUCGCGGCCUAUCAGCUUGUUGGUGGGGUAGUGGCUCACCAAGGCGACGACGGGUAGCCGGCCUGAGAGGGCGACCGGCCACACUGGGACUGAGACACGGCCCAGACUCCUACGGGAGGCAGCAGUGGGGAAUAUUGCACAAUGGGCGGAAGCCUGAUGCAGCGACGCCGCGUGAGGGAUGACGGCCUUCGGGUUGUAAACCGCUUUCAGCAGGGAAGAAGCGAGAGUGACGGUACCGGCAGAAGAAGCACCGGCUAACUACGUG